AGGCCAGGUCGAAAGACGUAACCGAUGGACAACAGGUUGAAAUUCCUGUACCUUAAGUAAACAGAACUGUGGGGACACGUGUGGAGAGCACAAGCCGGAAAUGGAAAAGCCGGUGCAAGCGAGGUAGGAGAUGAACAGGCAAAUCCGUUCAUCAAUCCGAAGACGUGAUGCGGACCGAAUUAAGAGUAGGGAAGUGUGUGAGCCAUGCGUCAAGAAAAGCCGCUAUUGUUUUACUUAAGCCCGUACCGUAAACCGACACAGGUGGAUGAGGAGAGAAUCCUAAGGCCGACGGGAGAAGCAUUGUUAAGGAACUCGGCAAAAUGACUCCGUAACUUCGGGAGAAGGAGUGCCAGCGAGAGCUGGCCGCAGAGAAUUGGCCCAAGCAACUGUUUAGCAAAAACACAGGUCUAUGCAAAACCGUAAGGUGAAGUAUAUGGGCUGACGCCUGCCCGGUGCUGGAAGGUUAAGAGGAGAGGUUAGCGGUAACGCGAAGCUUUGAAUUUAAGCCCCAGUAAACGGCGGCCGUAACAAUAACGGUCCUAAGGUAGCGAAAUUCCUUGUCGGGUAAGUUCCGACCCGCACGAAAGGCGUAAUGAUUUGGGCACUGUCUCAACAAUGCACCCGGUGAAAUUGAAAUACCAGUGAAGAUGCUGGUUACCUGCGCCAGGACGGAAAGACCCCAUGGAGCUUUACUCCAGCUUGAUACUGGGAUUCGGUAUUGCAUGUACAGGAUAGGUGGGAGGCUAGGAAGUGAUAACGCCAGUUGUCACGGAGCCGCUGUUGGGAUACCACCCUUGCAGUAUUGGAUUUCUAACCAGCGACCAUGAACUGGUCGGGGGACAAUGUCAGGUGGGGAGUUUGACUGGGGCGGUUGCCUCCGAAAGGGUAUCGGAGGCGCUCAAAGGUUCCCUCAGAAUGGACGGAAACCAUUCGAAGAGUGCAAAGGCAGAAGGGAGCUUGACUGCGACACCGACGGGUGGAGCAGGUACGAAAGUAGGACUUAGUGAUCCGGUGGUAUAAAGUGGGAUUGCCAUCGCUCAACGGAUAAAAGCUACCCUGGGAUAACAGGCUUAUCACUCCCAAGAGUUCACAUCGACGGAGUGGUUUGGCACCUCGAUGUCGGCUCAUCGCAUCCUGGGGCUGAAGUAGGUCCCAAGGGUUGGGCUGUUCGCCCAUUAAAGCGGUACGCGAGCUGGGUUCAGAACGUCGUGAGACAGUUCGGUCCCUAUCCGGCGUGGGCGUAGGAUAUUUGAGAGGAGCUGUCCUUAGUACGAGAGGACCGGGAUGGACUGGCCGCUGGUGUAUCUGUUGCAUACCAAAUGCAUGGCAGAGUAGCCAAGCCGGGACGGGAUAAACGCUGAAGGCAUCUAAGCGUGAAGCCCCCCUCAAGAUGAGAUAUCCCUACGUAAGUAGUAAGACCCCUUGAAGACGACGAGGUAGAUAGGUCAGAGGUGGAAGUACAGUAAUGUAUGGAGCUGACUGAUACUAAUCGGUCGAGGGCAUGACCG
rnacentral:rRNA from 1 species